AACCGCGUAGCUCAGUUGGCAGAGCGUCGAUCUAUAGUAAUUCGAAGGUCGGGGGUUCAAGACCCAGCCGCGGCAG
rnacentral:tRNA from 1 species